CAGUUUCUGAGCGAGGAGCUUCUGUAACAUCCAGAUGGAGACUAGACUUGUUAGACUGAUGUAUUUCAGGGAACAAGGAUCGUUUUCUUUUGCGAACAUGCAUCCUGUCACUCACUCAGUUCUUCUGAUCAUCUUAGUAUUAGGAGGGACCAAUGGUGACUCAGUGAACCAGACAGAAGGCCCAGUGACUGUCUCAGAGGGGGCUCUCAUGACCCUGAACUGCACUUACCAGACGGCUGAUUUUUCUCCCUAUCUUUUCUGGUAUGUCCAGCAUCUCAACAAAGCUCCUCAACUCCUCCUGAAGGGCUUAACAGCAGACAAGAAGGUAGAGCAUGAAGGUUUUCAGGCCACUCUUGUUAAGAGUGACAGCUCCUUCCACCUGCAGAAACAGGCAGUGCAAACAUCAGACUCGGCCGUGUACUACUGUGCUCUGAGUGACACAGUGACACAGGGCUGCGGGGGAGCUGAGCACAAACCCAGAGUGCAGAUGCGGCUCUGGCUGUGGGCAGCCCUGCAAGAGGUGUUGUUUCUCUCUCCAGAGGUACUGUCAAAGCACUUCCAGCUCUGA